rnacentral:rRNA from 1 species
CAGCCGCCGCGGUAAAACGUAGGUGGCAAGCGUUGUCCGGAAUUAUUGGGCGUAAAGGGCUCGCAGGCGGUUUCUUAAGUCUGAUGUGAAAGCCCCCGGCUCAACCGGGGAGGGUCAUUGGAAACUGGGAAACCUGAGUGCAGAAGAGGAGAGUGGAAUUCCACGUGUAGCGGUGAAACGCGUAGAGAUGUGGAGGAACACCAGUGGCGAAGGCGACUCUCUGGUCUGUAACUGACGCUGAGGAGCGAAAGCGUGGGGAGCGAACAGGAUUAGAUACCCGCGUAGUCCCUGUCUCUUAUAC